UGAAAAUUUUCAGUCCCGUUCGACUGAGGUAAUGUCCGCUGUAGGGUUCCCUAUGUUUCGAGUCCAUCCACCUUUUUCCAGGAUACCCAGUAAGCUUUCAUUUAUAUAGAUUCUCAUCAUCCAAACAACCACCAACGUAUACCAACAUCUCAUUUUAUAUUCACAUAUUAAUUUAAACGGUAUUUAAGUAAGUGAUAUAGUUUAAUAUAACCGAAUAACCAAGUAACCAUAAU
rnacentral:lncRNA from 1 species